rnacentral:rRNA from 1 species
GUAAUGUAUCGCUAACGUACCCUUUAGUCCGGGAUAGCCAGGGAAACUCUGGGUAAUACCGGGAAAUAUUCUCUUUUCGCAUUGGAAGGAGACUCAAAGGAGCAAUCCGCUGAAGGAGCGGGCGAUAUCGUAUCAGCUAGUUGGUGAGGUAACGGUCACCAAGGCAUCGACGCGUAGCCGGACUGAGAGGUCGGUCGGCCACAUUGGGACUGAGACACUGCCCAGACUCCUACGGGGGGCUGCAGUAACGAAUCUUCCGCAAUGCACGCAAGUGUGACGGAGCGACGCCGCGUGUGGGACGAAGUCCUUCGGGAUGUAAACCACUGUCAGGGGUUACCAAGUUCUUGAGGAGCCCCAGAGGAAGGCACGGUAAUCUGUGCCAAGCAAGCCGCGGUAAAGACCAGAGGUGCCGAGCGUUAGGCGGAAUCACUGGGCUUAAAGCGUGUGUAGGCGGGUCGUCAAGUGUCUUGUGAAAUCCCCCGGUUCAACGGGGAAUGGUGGGCAUACUGGGAUCUUGAGCAGGUCUAGGGG